AAGAGGGGAAAGGGAACUAGAGCAGAGAUAGACACAUAGAGAGUCCACUCUGAGUCAGAUUUCUUCCCCAAAAUAAUUCACAAAUUCAGAAAGGCCAAGAAGAAGGAAGAAGUGUAUGACAAGAUUUAAAAAAAAGAGAGAGAGAGAAAAGAGAGAAGAUAAGAAAAAGAAGAGAGACAAGAGAGAGAAAAGGGAAAAGAUAAGAAAAGGAGCUGUAAUUAAAGAGCAGUGAAAGGAAAUUCCCAAAUGUGUAUCAGUGAAUUCAUAAAA